GUCUUAAAGAAAUUAAUUUUAAGUCUAAUCUGCCCACUGAGAAUUUAAAUGGCUGCAGUAUUUUAACUGUACAAAGGUAGCAUAAUAAUUUGUUUUUUAAUUAAAAACUAGAAUGAAAGAUUAAAUGAAAUAAAAUCUGUUUCAAUUUAAAUUUAUAUAAAAUUUUUAUUUAAGUAAAAAAACUUAAAUAAUUUAUAAAGACGAUAAGACCCUAUAGAAUUUUAUUUAUAAAUUAAUUAAAUUAAAUUAAUUUAUAAAUUUAAUUGGGGUAAUUUAAAAAUUAAAAUAAUUUUUUUUAAAUUUAACAUUAAUAUAUGAAUUUUAUUUAUCUUAAUAUUUAAAUUAAAAAAAUUAAUUACCUUAGGGAUAACAGCAUAAUUUUUUUUGAUAGUUCUUAUAUAUAAAAAAGAUUAU
rnacentral:rRNA from 1 species